UACGAGGGGGGCGAGCGUUGUUCGGAAUUAUUGGGCGUAAAGAGCGUGUAGGCGGCCACUUAAGUCCUGCGUGAAAUCUUGCGGCUCAACCGCAAGCGGUCGUGGGAAACUGGGUGGCUAGAGUUCGGUAGGGGAGACUGGAAUUCCUGGUGUAGCGGUGAAAUGCGCAGAUAUCAGGAGGAACACCGGUGGCGAAGGCGGGUCUCUGGGCCGAUACUGACGCUGAGGAGCGAAAGCGUGGGGAGCGAACAGG
rnacentral:rRNA from 1 species